AGAGACCUCAAGCGUUAUCCGGAAUCAUUGGGCGUAAAGCGUACCGAUAGGUGGUUUUACAAGUCAGAAGUGAAAUCUCUCAGCUUAACUGGGAGACUGUCUUUUGAAACUGUAAAACUAGAGGUGCAAAGAGGAAGCUGGAACAAGCGGUGUAGUAGUGAAAUGCGUUGAUAUCGCUUGGAACACCAAUAGCGUAGGCAGGCUUCUGGGUGCCACCUGACACUGCUAGGACGAAAGCGUGGGGAGUGAAUGGGAUUAGAUACCCCAGUAAUCCACGCUGUAAACGAUGAUGAUUAGGCGCUAGGGAGUAUCGACCCUCCUUAGUGCCAUAGCUAACGCGUUAAAUCAUCCGCCUGGGGAGUACGGCCGCAAGGCUA
rnacentral:rRNA from 1 species